GUCAUCAUUAGAGCUCCUGCACUGAAGAACCUGAUUCCUUGGUUUCUUUAAUUGAUUUUAAGCCUCUUGGUCUUAUUGGGGAGCUCCUUAUAAAGUAGAUCAAGACAGAUACUUUGCAACCACUGAUAAACUUGUGAUCUUCUCAUCUGUCUGUAAAAACUGUAUAGGAGUAAAUUUGUUUUUUUACAUAUUUGUAGCUGUAAAUAAGUAUUAUAUCUUUUGUUUUAAAAAGUGGGAACAUUUCAAAAUCAUGUCUUACUGGGGAUAUUUUACAGGUGAAAAAAAUCUGAUUAAUACAACAGAGUACUGCCUGACAGACCUGCAUGAGAAUUGAGCUCUUCAAAUGGCAGAGCUACAGAAGACACAUCUAUGUUAGGUCAUACUUCUUG
rnacentral:lncRNA from 1 species